CACGCCGUAAACGAUGGAUACUAGGUGUAGGAGGUAUCGACCCCUUCUGUGCCGGAGUUAACACAAUAAGUAUCCCACCUGGGGAGUACGGCCGCAAGGCUGAAACUCAAAGGAAUUGACGGGGGCCCGCACAAGCAGUGGAGUAUGUGGUUUAAUUCGAAGCAACGCGAAGAACCUUACCAGGGCUUGACAUCUACAGAAUCCUAUAGAGAUAUGGGAGUGCCUUCGGGAACUGUAAGACAGGUGG
rnacentral:rRNA from 1 species